AAAUUGAAGAGUUUGAUCAUGGCUCAGAUUGAACGCUGGCGGCAGGCCUAACACAUGCAAGUCGAACGGUAACAGGAAGCAGCUUGCUGCUUCGCUGACGAGUGGCGGACGGGUGAGUAAUGUCUGGGAAACUGCCUGAUGGAGGGGGAUAACUACUGGAAACGGUAGCUAAUACCGCAUAAUGUCGCAGGACCAAAGAGGGGGACCUUCGGGCCUCUUGCCAUCAGAUGUGCCCAGAUGGGAUUAGUUUGUUGGUGAGGUAACGGCUCACCAAGGCGACGAUCCCUAGCUGGUCUGAGAGGAUGACCAGCCACACUGGAACUGAGACACGGUCCAGACUCCUACGGGAGGCAGCAGUGGGGAAUAUUGCACAAUGGGCGCAAGCCUGAUGCAGCCAUGCCGCGUGUAUGAAGAAGGCCUUCGGGUUGUAAAGUACUUUCAGCGGGGAGGAAGGGGAUAAGGCUAAUAACCUUGUUCAUUGACGUUACCCGCAGAAGAAGCACCGGCUAACUCCGUGCCAGCAGCCGCGGUAAUACGGAGGGUGCAAGCGUUAAUCGGAAUUACUGGGCGUAAAGCGCACGCAGGCGGU
rnacentral:rRNA from 1 species